UGUGUGUGUGUGUGUGUGUGUUUAAUUUGUAACAAAGCCUUACAGACAGGUGCAGAAACAAAGAUCCUCUUUGCAAUCCAGAAUUCAUUGUUCAGUAUGUGUUUGAUUUAUUUGAGAAUGUGAAGU